AGCUCACUGGUCGAGUGACUCUGCGCGGAAAAUGUAACGGGGCUAAACAUACCACCGAAGCUAUGGCAGUCCUUACGGACUGGGUAGGGGAGCGUUCCAAGCAGCAGUGAAGCCGUACCGGAAGGAGCGGUGGAGCGCUUGGAAGUGAGAAUGCCGGUGUAAGUAGCGAAAAGACAAGUGAGAAUCUUGUCCACCGAAAGCCUAAGGUUUCCUGGGGAAGGCUCGUCCUCCCAGGGUUAGUCGGGACCUAAGCUGAGGCCGAAAGGCGUAGGCGAUGGACAACAGGUUGAUAUUCCUGUACCACCUCUGUUCCGCUUGAGGGGCAAGCUGUGAUGGCGAGGGAAACAUAAGUACCGAAGUCCCUGAUUUCACACUGCCAAGAAAAGCGUCUAGCGAGGAACAAGGUGCCCGUACCGCAAACCGACACAGGUAGGCGAGGAGAGAAUCCUAAGGUGCGCGGGAUAACUCUUGCUAAGGAACUCGGCAAAAUGGCCCCGUAACUUCGGGAGAAGGGGCGCCCCGGUAGGGUCAGGGUCCCCGCACGACGCGAGCGUAAGCUUGUGUCGGGUGGGUCCGAGCCCGAGGGGGCCGCAGUGAAAAGGCCCAAGCGACUGUUUAGCAAAAACACAGGUCUCUGCGAAGCCGCAAGGCGAAGUAUAGGGGCUGACGCCUGCCCGGUGCUGGAAGGUUAAGGGGAUGGGUUAGCGCAAGCGAAGCUUUGAACCGAAGCCCCAGUAAACGGCGGCCGUAACAAUAACGGUCCUAAGGUAGCGAAAUUCCUUGUCGGGUAAGUUCCGACCCGCACGAAAGGCGUAACGACUUGGGCGCUGUCUCGGCAAGAGACCCGGUGAAAUCAUAAUACCUGUGAAGAUGCAGGUUACCCGCGACAAGACGGAAAGACCCCAUGGAGCUUUACUGUAGCCUGGUAUUGGAACUUUGUGCAUCAUGUACAGGAUAGGUGGGAAGCUGAGAAGCAGGGGCGCCAGCCUCUGUGGAGCUGUCGGUGGGAUACCACCCUUGAUGUACGGAGUUUCUAACUCGUCGCCCUUAUCGGGCGAGAGGACCAUGCCAGGUGGGCAGUUUGACUGGGGCGGUCGCCUCCUAAAAGGUAACGGAGGCGCCCAAAGGUUCCCUCAGAAUGGUCGGAAAUCAUUCGUAGAGUGUAAAGGCAGAAGGGAGCUUGACUGCGAGACCUACAAGUCGAGCAGGGACGAAAGUCGGGCUUAGUGAUCCGGUGGUUCCGCAUGGAAGGGCCAUCGCUCAACGGAUAAAAGCUACCCUGGGGAUAACAGGCUUAUCUCCCCCAAGAGUCCACAUCGACGGGGAGGUUUGGCACCUCGAUGUCGGCUCAUCGCAUCCUGGGGCUGAAGUAGGUCCCAAGGGUUGGGCUGUUCGCCCAUUAAAGCGGUACGCGAGCUGGGUUCAGAACGUCGUGAGACAGUUCGGUCCCUAUCUGUCGCGGGCGCAGGAAGUUUGAGGAGAGCUGUCCUUAGUACGAGAGGACCGGGAUGGACGCACCGCUGGUGCACCAGUUGUCACGCCAGUGGCACAGCUGGGUAGCUAUGUGCGGAAGGGAUAAGCGCUGAAAGCAUCUAAGCGUGAAGCCCCCUCCAAGAUGAGACUUCCCACAGCGUUAAGCUGGUAAGACCCCUCAUAGACGAUGAGGUUGAUAGGUUCGGUGUGGAAGCGCGGCAACGCGUGGAGCUGACGAAUACUAAUCGGUCGAGGACUUAUCC
rnacentral:rRNA from 1 species